rnacentral:rRNA from 1 species
CAGCCGCCGCGGUAAUACGUAGGGUGCGAGCGUUAAUCGGAUUUACUGGGCGUAAAGCGUGCGCAGGCGGCCCGUUAAGACAGGUGUGAAAUCCCUGGGCUCAACCUAGGAAUUGCGCUUGUGACUGGCGGGCUCGAGUACGGUAGAGGGGGGUGGAAUUCCUGGUGUAGCAGUGAAAUGCGUAGAGAUCAGGAGGAACACCGAUGGCGAAGGCAGCCCCCUGGGCCUGUACUGACGCUCAUGCACGAAAGCGUGGGGAGCAAACAGGAUUAGAUACCCUGGUAGUCAACGCCCUAAACGAUGGGUACUAGCCGUUUGGUGCGCGAGAGCGCUGAGUGGCGAAGCUAACGCGUGAAGUACCCCGCCUGGGGAGUACGGCCGCAAGGUUGAAACUUAAAGGAAUUGGCGGG